UACGAAGGGGGGCUAGCGUUGCUCGGAAUCACUGGGCGUAAAGCGCACGUAGGCGGACUCUUAAGUCGGUGGUGAAAUCCUGGAGCUCAACUCCAGAACUGCCUUCGAUACUGGGAGUCUCGAGUCCGAGAGAGGUGAGUGGAACUGCGAGUGUAGAGGUGAAAUUCGUAGAUAUUCGCAAGAACACCAGUGGCGAAGGCGGCUCACUGGCCCGGUACUGACGCUGAGGUGCGAAAGCGUGGGGAGCAAACAGG
rnacentral:rRNA from 1 species